rnacentral:tRNA from 3 species
GCGGGUGUAGUUCAAUGGCAGAACGGAAGCUUCCCAAGCUUCAUACGAGGGUUCGAUUCCCUUCACCCGCUCCA